UUUCCGUAGGUGAACCUGCGGAAGGAUCAUUAUAAAUGAAAAACGAAUCACUUCAGGGAAGAAGGGAACCUGCACGGUGACCUCCCCUGUCGGGCCACCCAAUACCUUCAAAAUGCCGCCGUCCUAGCGGUGGCAGACGAAAAAAAAACAAGAAAAACAAAAUAGAAACAGGCACGGUGGCCCGUUCACCUUCACACAACCCUCCGAGUACCGCUUCCAUGUUGCUUCCCCGCAAAUCCACCUCUUUGGUGAGCGCGGGGGAGGUCCGCAUCAAAUUCACCUGAAUGUCACAGCAGUCAGACAGCCAUUCAUGGAAACAAUAAAACUUUCAACAACGGAUCUCUUGGUUCCC
rnacentral:misc_RNA from 1 species